CCUACGGGUGGCAGCAGUGGGGAAUAUUGCACAAUGGGGGAAACCCUGAUGCAGCGACGCCGCGUGAGUGAAGAAGUAAUUCGUUAUGUAAAGCCCUAUCAGCAGGGAAGAAGAAAUGACGGUACCUGAGUAAGAAGCACCGGCUAAAUACGUGCCAGCAGCCGCGGUCAUACGUAUGGUGCAAGCGUUGUUCGGAUUUACUGGGUGUAAAGGGAGCGCAGGCGGCACGGCAAGCCUGAUGUGAAAGGCCGCGGCCCAACCGCGGGACUGCAUUGGGAACUAGCGGGCUGGAGUGCCGGAGAGGUAGGCGGAAUUCGUAGUGUAGCGGUGAAAUGCGUAGAUAUUGAGAAGAACACCAGUGGCGAAGGCGGCCUACUGGACGGUGACUGACGCUGAGGCUCGAAAGCGUGGGGAGCGAACAGGAUUAGAUACCCCAGUAGUC
rnacentral:rRNA from 1 species